AGGUUUGGUCCUGGCCUUAUUAUUAGUUAUAGGUAGACUUACACAUGCUAGACUCCACGCACCAGUGCAGAAUCCCACGAAAUCAAUAACUAAGUGAUCUAAAGGAGAUGGUAUCAAGCACACACAAGUAGCUAAAGACACCUUGCUAAGCCACACCCCCACGGGAAACAGCAGUGAUAAAAAUUAAGCAAUGAACGAAAGUUUGACUUAGUCAUACCAAUAAGGGUUGGUCAAUCUCGUGCCAGCCACCGCGGUCAUACGAUUGACCCAAACUAAUAAUUACCCGGCGUAAAGCGUGUAUACAGAAUGAAAUUAAUAGGAUAGAAAGUUAUCAACAAUGUAAAAAUUUCAUGAUAUAAGUAAUCACAAUAACGAAAGUAAUCCUAAUUACCUUGACUACACGAUAGCUAAGACACAAACUGGGAUUAGAUACCCCACUAUGCUUAGCCCUAAACAUAAAUAAUUAAAAACAAAAUUAUUCGCCAGAGAACUACUAGCCACAGCUUAAAACUCAAAGGACUUGGCGGUACUUUAUACCUGCCUAGAGGAGCUUGUUCUAUAAUCGAUAAACCCCGUUACACCUCACCACCCCUUGCUAAUUCAGCCUAUAUACCGCCAUCUUCAGCAAACCCUGUCAAGGAAUAACAGUGAGCUCAAUGAUUAAUCGUAAAUACGUUAGGUCAAGGUGUAGCCAAUGAGGUGGAAAGUAAUGAGCUACAUUUUCUACACAAGAAAAUUACGGAACCCUUCAUGAAAUCGGAGGGGUGAAGGAGGAUUUAGCAGUAAAUUAAGAAUAGAGAGCUUAAUUGAACUUAGCAAUGAAGUACGCACACACCGCCCGUCACUCUCCUCAAGUACCAAAAAUUGAAACAUUCUUUUAUAAACCAAUAAUAAAUAUUAGAGGAGACAAGUCGUAACAAGGUAAGCAUACUGGAAAGUGUGCUUGGCAAAAC
rnacentral:ncRNA from 1 species